rnacentral:rRNA from 1 species
UCGUCAGCUCGUGUCGUGAGAUGUUGGGUUAAGUCCCGCAACGAGCGCAACCCUUGUCAUUAGUUGCCAUCAUUAAGUUGGGCACUCUAAUGAGACUGCCGGUGACAAACCGGAGGAAGGUGGGGAUGACGUCAAGUCAUCAUGCCCCUUAUGACCUGGGCUACACACGUGCUACAAUGGACGGUACAACGAGAAGCGAACCUGCGAAGGCAAGCGGAUCUCUUAAAGCCGUUCUCAGUUCGGACUGUAGGCUGCAACUCGCCUACACGAAGCUGGAAUCGCUAGUAAUCGCGGAUCAGCACGCCGCGGUGAAUACGUUCCCGGGCCUUGUACACACCGCCCGUCACGCCAUGAGAGUCUGUAACACCCAAAGCCGGUGGGAUAACCUUUAUAGGAGUCAGCCGUCUAAGGUAGGACAGAUGAUUAGGGUGAAGUCGUAACAAGGUAGCCGUA